rnacentral:tRNA from 1 species
GUCAGCGUGGCUCAUCGGAAAGAGCACGGGCUUGAGAGUCAGAGGUCAUGGGUUCGAAUCCCAGCUCUGCCA